UACGUAGGGUGCAAGCGUUGUCCGGAAUUAUUGGGCGUAAAGAGCUCGUAGGCGGUUUGUCGCGUCGAAUGUGAAAACCCGGGGCUCAACCCCGGGCCUGCAUUCGACACGGGCAGACUAGAGUUCGGUAGGGGAGUCUGGAAUUCCUGGUGUAGCGGUGAAAUGCGCAGAUAUCAGGAGGAACACCGGUGGCGAAGGCGGGACUCUGGGCCGAUACUGACGCUGAGGAGCGAAAGCGUGGGGAGCAAACAGG
rnacentral:rRNA from 1 species